GUUGCUACUUGGUUGAGAUGAAACUUCUUGCUCAGCAGCGGGAGCUUCAGGAAAAAAUUCCCAGUAUGGAGAAGUGCUAGGAUAUAGUUGCUACUUUGCAGGCUAAGAAGGGCACUGGAACUAAAGCCGAUUUUGAAGUUUCAGAAGGCAUAUAUUCACGGGCCCGCAUUGAGGAGUCAGACUCCGUAUAUCUGUGGCUGGGAGCAAAUAUCUGGAAUACACGAGUGAAGAGAUCCGUUUAUUGAAAAUUUGCAUAUUAAUAAUAAUGCUUUUCUUCUUCUAGUAGUACGUCAGUACUAGCAUACAGGAUAAAAAUUGAAUCUGUUCUUUUUGACAAAAUGUCACUCUUCUGGACCCUUAAACUCAUAAACAUUAGAAGGAAACAUUCCCACCAGAAGCUGGCUUUGGCUUGUGUUUUUACAAGGCCCUCAGUCACCACGAAGGCGGAUUCAACCGCAGAUGCAUCACCAGCAACAAUUGCAGCUUCCUUCUUUAAUUUCACCGGUUAGUGCCUCCAGGCUUCAGGCACAACAGUGGACAUGGAACAUGUUUUAGACGAUAGAUGCAAGAUGCCAGCCAAAGCUUGUUUACUUGAGGAGAGAAGGAGGAUGCCACGAAGGAAGGAAAAUGAGAGGGUACACAAUGGUUAAUGCGGCAAAUUUUAUGGUAGAGAUGCAUGCUAACAAGAGCAGAAGUCUCAGAGUGCUGUACUGUGCUCAUCCUCUGCGAAAAGGGGAAAAGUAAAUGAAAGGCAAUUGCUAAAUACUACCUCCGUUCCUAAAAAAGUGGUACUAUCACUUUUUCAUUUUAGCUUAAAAAUAGGCCAAAUUGAAAAAGACAAAAGUAAUUCUUUUUCAGGAACGAAGGGAAUAAUAAUUUACUUUUAUUACAGAUUUCAUAUUACAUCACUAUAUAACCUAAAAAUGAAAAAUAUAUAGUAAUUUAUUGCCA